rnacentral:rRNA from 1 species
CGCGUAGGCGGUUCGCUAAGUUGAAUGUGAAAACUCUGGGCUUAACCCAGAGCCUGCAUUCAAUACUGGCGGGCUAGAGUUCUGGAGGGGAUAGCGGAAUUCCUGGUGUAGCGGUGAAAUGCGUAGAUAUCAGGAGGAACACCGGUGGCGAAGGCGGCUAUCUGGACAGAGUCUGACGCUGAGGCGCGAAAGCUAGGGGAGCAAACAGGAUUAGAUACCCUGGUAGUCCUAGCCCUAAACGAUGGAUACUUGCUGUGACUGGGAUUGAAUCCAGCCGUGGCGAAGCUAACGCAUUAAGUAUCCCGCCUGGGGAGUACGGUCGCAAGGCUGAA